CACGUCACCUGCAGCAAUUGGCUUCCUAAAGCCAUUUCAGCAUUCCAUUAGUAAAGAGAGAUUAGAGUAGCAAGGAGAGAUUUAUUUUGUAACUGUCAAAAAAAUACAACUAAAUAUAACUGGGACACAGACUGCAUUUCAGAUAAACACUAAGGCAGAUUAUUUAGUCUCAUAAUACGACCAAACAGCAUUUGUGAAUUAUGAGAAUUAUGAAAGGACAGAAGAGCAUGUCUUUUAAAGAAUUGUAAUGAACUAAAACGCUGUGGGCUUUAUCCUGAGCUGUUUGGCCACUGGUGGGAGGAGGGAGGUCCCGAUGGGGGAGUGAAUGGGAGCCGUGCCAGGGGAGAGGGGGGGGAAUUGAAAAACACUGUCCCUCUUAAAACAAGCUGGGCAAUUUGGCCAUCAACAGAGCAGCAAGGACGCCUACCUGGGGAAAGCAUUCAACUUCUCCAUACUAGUAAAGUUGUGGAACCAGACCCAAUGAUGGCCUACUGGGCUGAGAGUCAGGGGCAGUCACCUGUUUAUGCCAAAUAUUGUACAGUACCUGGACCAAACUGUACACACAUGUACCAUGACAGACAUAAGGCCACGUAUCUCCCUUUGCCUCUCUGUGACCAGCGAGAGCCCAGCUGCUGGAAUGUACCAGGAUCCAGGACAGGAGGCAUCCUGCACGACUACACCAACUGGACCAACCCAGACCUGGCCGCCCCCGCCGCCUCCCACUUCCCUUUCGGGCUCGACAACCCAAACAAAGACCGCCCUCAGCCUCAAGAGACGAGAGGAGGGGAACGGAGAGCAGGAGGAUACAGAGGGGCACCAGAGAGAGAAUAUGAGUUAGGGAACCCAAACGAAGGGUGGCAGAGGAGGUGGGAGCCCGGCAGCAGCAGUAGCAGUCUGAGUGACAGCAGCUACCGGGAGUUGCAGGCAUGGGCAGCUCGGUACAGCCACUCCCUUCCUAGGAGGCGACGGAUGGGUGCCGAGAUGAAGGGUGCCUUCCAGGAAGCCCCUGAUACCAGUAGGACCCUGGGGAGGGUCAACAGGCAUGCACCGGACCCUCACAUGGCAGCGCUGCAGAGGUCAGAGUCGUAUUCGGGUCCCCGAGGCCCGAUGGGGGUCGGAGGUCACCAGAAGACCAUGACGAACAACCCCUUACCGGUAUGUCCUCCUGAAAGCACCAUGGAAAGGAACAAUUACCAUAGAAUGAGGUUUAGCCAACCCCCUGGCUACAUAGGCCCGCCUGCAUAUGAUGGCCAACAUAACAGAUCACCUGGUAUGCAGUACCACAACACAUUUGGUACAGACCAGCAAGCUAAACGAAACACAUCCUUUUUAAAGUCAACACAACCCAAUCAAAACAUGUCUAGCGAUUUGCAAGACAUAAGAGGAGGAAAUAAGGAGAAGGACACUAAAGAGUCCCAGAAGCAAAGAUCUGCCUUGGACUCUAAUUCUUACGAGGAUCGAAUUCAAGCGACUAAUACUUUAUGGCAGAAUCAACCGAUUUAUUCACAGCCCACUCAGGUUCAACCCGUCAGUCACUCGUCACCACGUGAGGUCCAGGAAUCAAAGCCAACCGAGGGUAUAAGUUCAAAUGUAAUUGAAGGACGGACAUUUAGAUUAAACCAGAGGACAGGUGGAGCAACCAUAUUUUGCUUGGUCUCGCGAAUGUGUGAAACUAAAUCAGAGACAUUGAGAGAAAAUGUAGAAACCAAAGCUGUGCCACAUUGUACCAGAAAAUCUAACAGUGAAAGCUCGGAAUUAGGGGGGAUUACUAAGGGUUUAAUGGAUGACAAUGACAUCAUCCACAGAAUGACUAAACUUGCAGAUGAGGUGGACUUUAGUGUAGAAAAUAUGUCAAAGAUCCCAGUCGAACAUACUAUUUCCAGAAAGAAUGGAAAAGACACAGUUGGUUUGGUGGAGAGCCAGGAAGCUGCAGGACACAAAAUAGAGUCACAAACAGGCUGUAGUUUAGCAAAUCAGACGCAUUUACAAUCAACCACAGAAAAAGAUGGUGUAGGUGAUGUAAAUCCUGUAGUUGGACCACAGGUAGGACAGACAUCACCACUCAGAUUCCCACUGUGGAGGGAGCCUGGAUACACAGCCAGGAUGGACAAGAAUAGUUCCCUCCGAUGUAGAGCUCUGGUCAACAACAGUCCAACAAGCAAGAGUACAGACAUUUGUGGCCGUCCUAUUGACAUUGAGGUUAGGCGAUUUGAGAUAAAGGAAGAUGAAAAAGCAGAGAGCUGCGGAGGUCAACUGGUAAUCGACACUACCAGUGUACUAGUCAGAAUGGAGUUGAUUCCCUCUCCUAAGAAGGAGCAUGUUAAUUAUUUAUUCCACCCCCCAUACAAUCCUCCUAAUGUAGACACAGGCCUCGUUGCAGCUAUCCAAACCCAGGUUAACCCCUUCCCUGCACCUGAUGAACCUGAACCUCAGACUGACCGAGAGGAAGGAGACCCAACAGAUCUAACACAUGAAGAUUUCUUGAAGGCAGAGGAACUGCAGCCUGAAAAAGCAAGUGACCUCUGUCUCCCCUGCCUGCCUCAGAUUUCCCCUCCUGAAAAGGAGACGUUGACGGCGCGUGCUGAAAGGAUCCUGGGAAUCCCUUUGCUCGACAGCAACACCGAGCUGACAUGUGAGGAGACUGUAACAGUUCCUGACCUGUGUAGUGAGAAUGAACAACAAAAUGAACAGGAAACAUCCCCACUAGCUUACAACAUAACGGAUGUUUUGUGCCUUACCGAAGGGAAACAAAAAGAGAUGGUGACACAGUUACCUGAUGACCCCGCAGAUGAGAGCGAGAGUGAGUUUGUGCAAGAUAUAAAUAUCCCCCAAGAUGUAUUAGACACAGAACAUAAUGAAGAUCCUGAAAUCCUGCGGGAUGGAAAGCCAGAAAUAUCAGACUGCCCUGAUUCAAAAGAGGACGUCAUAGAAGACCGGGAAUCUCAAGAUGUAGAACCUUUGGGAAGCAGUGUGUUACAUGAACAAGUAUUUCAAAAAGACGGUCAGGAAGAGAGCACAGAGGAAAACAAUCUACCCAAUGAAAACAAUGCUUGUUCUUCCACUCCAUCUGACCCCUCCGAUUUACAACCAGAGUCACCUCCUGAUUUCCCAUGUCACAUCCAGCGUAAUUCUCUUUCCUGUGAAUCAGCCACAGAAACAGUUCCUCCUUCCUUGUUCAUCAAUGAUGCCUCAGAAAAUCCAGAAACCUCAACCCAUAGUCCUCAGAGACCAUGUUCAUCGACAUCCAUUGAUGUAUCUCCUCCUCCCUGUGAAUACAUCCUAUUUCCAUUGCCCAUCACGUCCACGCCUGAACACCCUUUCCUGAAUCUCCAUUGUCUCGAUUCAUCGGUUCACCCGGAAGAUUCAUCUUCUGCUAUUGAGGCAUGUGAAAAGGUACACGAGUUGGAUGACAGUUUGCAGCUUACAAAUAAUGACAUCACUGAUAACACAAAUGAGCGCCUCUUUGAAGACGAUACAGGAGAACCAGGGUUCUGUGACGAGAUUGCAGCAUGCCCAAAAGACAGAAUCAAAGAUCUAGUGCAGCCGACAAAAGAAAAUAUCAAGGAAGUUACAGAGCUGGAGGAACAGACUGCCAGUUCUGAAGACAACACCACUGACUUUGAGUCACUAACAGAGGUCAACAGUCUGCAGAAACUCACGAACACAACUGAGCCCCUCUUUGAAUCAUGCAGCCAGGAACAGAGAAACAGAGAAACAGAGGGAACCGGAGAUGAUGCGUGCCCUCAAUCUGUCAUUCAUUGCCUCGAUCCAUCAAUAGUCAUAAAACACACCGUUGACCUCCAAUGUUCUCCUUGUGUUUCUGAAAUUAUGCCCUCUCUGUCAGAUGUUUCUGACCUUAACAGUGAGCCAGCUCUGCAAACUGACUUGACUUCCCCAUCUGUUUCAGAAAACAAAGCCCUUCACUCUGAACCCUUUCUAUCUGACAUUUCAGAAAUCUCCCCCGCUGUUUGUUUGGAAUCUAACACACCCCUUCUAUUUCUGUCCUCUGCACCCUUGGAAUACUCUCAUGGUUUCCCCCCUCAUCCAGUAGAAGAGGACACUGUACCACUGGAGCUUCCAAAUACCAUGAAAGACACAGGGGAGUCCCAAUAUCCCAGGUCCCUAUGGGAUGCAGUGAACCGCAUUAGAAAACACACAGCACCUGACUCUGAGAAUGAAGAUGAAGAGGUGAGUGAGCUGUGGGACCCCCAGAACGCAAUCGAACACUUGGCUUCUAUAGAAGAUGAGGGGGAUAUGGAAUCUGAGGACAUAGUGUUUCCUAACACUGAGGGAAUUGGGAAAGCAAUAGUGUCUUCCAUUGAUCAUGAUAGUAGCGAUACAGAAGAGGAGCUCGUCCUUGAUGGAACAACGCUACUGGAAGAGCCGGAGGAGGAACCGUUGGAGGAUGCGACAGUAGGACUGAGGCCACAAGAUGGACACCAGGAGGCAGGUCUCCAGGAUGAAGACACAUUGUCCUGCAGCCACAUAAACAGACAAGAUUUGGAGGAAACUGCUGUAAACAGUGCUGAGCAGGUUGAGGAGAAGGAGGACGUUGACAACCCUGAACUCGUGAAGGAGCAGGGGAAAACAAAUAACAAGAUCCCCUUGGAUGAGGAGAAAGAUAUAUGUGAUGACAAAGUCGAGGAAAGUUUAGUUGAGAAUGAGGAGGGUGGACGAGAUGAGACAGACACAAACCAUGCAUCUGUCUUAUCUCUGCCAUUGGGAUGUGACGAGAUUGCAGAUUGCCCAAAAGAAAGUAUCAAAGAUCUAGUGCAGCCGGCAGAAGGAAAUAGCAAGGAUCUUCCAAUGCUUGAGGAAAGGAUUGCCAUGCUAUCUGUUCCUCCUGUGACUGAUGUAGUACAAGGGGUGACAGAGUGAGGUUUGCUGAUGUGGAUAUGAACUGAACAGUUUGAUUUAAAUGAUAUUAACAAAGUUACUCAUUCAGAACUUUAAAUUAAUUUAUAGAUUGGUUACAUGGUGGAAGUGGUAGAUUGAAAUGCCUUAAUAAUUCAUUCAUUCACUAUUGCUCUAAUUCCGUUGAAUGCUUCCGUUAUUAAUCUUUAAAGAUGUUAUCUGUGCAUUGCCUUUAUCAUUGUUUUUCAUCCAUUCAUGGUUUUGAUGUUGUGAAAAUCAUAAUACAUACUUGAUUCAUGUUUUAAUAUUGAAUCGUUUUUG
ensembl:lncRNA